UAACUAUUUAUUAUUAUCUUCGCAAAAUAACGGACUUCACUGUUAAUGUGACAGAGGGAAUACUUGACUCAAACUUUAGUUAUAAUAAAAAUAUGUACAGAUUUAAUUUUCUUGCAUAUAUAUUAGAAUUUUACUAGCACUAGUAUUUAAAAAUAUCACACGCACACAUAAAAGUGCUUCAAUAAUUAACAAAUAAAAAACUCAACAGAGUAUUCAAUCAUGGCGGCAACGAACUCAAUUUUACCGCGAAUUCGCUCGGCAAAUCGGGCAUGAAGAGCACGAAUUCAGCCACCGCUCUAUGCACUGCAUAUGGAAGCCAUGGCUGCACUUCUCCAGAACCCUAAUUCUCUCCCCAAUUUCGAACUCCGACAAGCAAAUCGCGCACUCCUCCGCCGCCGCGAGCUGCAUCCCCUCCGAGUAAAUCAAAGACGGAACCUCGAUCACCUUUUCCGUAUCCGCGCUGACGGUCUCCGGCGACUGGAUUCGGCGAUACCGCUUGCACAUGUGUUUGAUGGCGAAGUUGAUCGCCAGACCGCAGAUUAGGGUGCAGAAGAGGAAGCCGACGACUAAGGCCGUGUUUGCCUUGAAAUCUCCGGAAUUGGAGUACGGCUGCCAUUGGCAAUUCUGGACACCGCAUUUAGUUGGCGGCGGUGGCGAUUGGUGGAUGCGGAAUUCUGCCGUCGCCGUCGCCGCGGCUACCGGCGGCUGAGAUGGUAACGAUCUAAUCUUCUCUCUCGAUUUGGUUUCUGAGUUGGCUCUUCUAGCUGAACUGCUAUUCACUCUCUUUUUCGUCUACUAUGUUGUUUUAUGCGAAUGAAUUAUCUGAAUUUUGGGGAAUUGAGUGUUUGUGAAAUUUGUGAUGAAUAAUUAUAUUAGAGAUGCUGUUUUGUUUUACUUACAAAUUUUCACGCAUUAUCCUCUUAUCACGAAGAAAAUGAUUGAUUUGAUCCUUUAAUGCCACGUUUCGUAUUUAAUUUAUCUUGAAAGAGAGAAUUCUGCAGAUACUGUUCUUCUCUAUAAUAUGUUUAGUUUAUCUAAAGAAUAUGAAGAUAAUCAAUCAAUCAUUGCUUGAAAUAAGAAGUGUACUAACUCACAAGAUUUUUAACACUAUAAAUCUCUAUACUUGUUUUAGGUGAUUUUUUCUAGUUUUACAAAUAAUUUGAACACCAAGUAGAGGGGCCAAUAAUCUUUUCAGCUAAUCAAUAUUUAGUGGGGUUCUUAUCUUCAUAAUUUCAAAAAGAGUCAUCAUCAUGUUUAGGAAAAUUCUCUGACCCCUACUUUAACGUAAAAGAAACACCAUUUAUAACAGACCGAUCCUCCUCAUCUUCCUCCCAAUGAUGAUUGCAGUGAUUGGUAGAGGAGACCAUUCGAUAGAGAAAAGUUGAUUGAUUUUAUUUCAUUGAUUUAUAACUGGAUGGCUUAUUAUUUUAAUCGAAGGGGUUGAUUGAUAUGUAUGCUAACCAAUGUUCAACCUAAAUUGCAUUCAAGCACCCUGAAAAAUCCCAGAAAUCAUUGCUAUACACAAAUUUUUCAAUGAAAGAAUUUUUCUUUGGCUUUAUUAGUGCCUAUGUGUAUAUCUUGAUUUAAUUUUAAGUGUUAGCUACUUCAUGAUAGGGCUGUAUGUCGAUAAAGUGAAUAGUUUCGUGUUGGAUAAAGGAUAGCACAUUGAAGUUCAAUAUUGGACUGUAUCAUAACCCGAAAUAAUAAACGAAUAAAACAAAGAACUUACUUGCAUAAAAUUCAAGUCUUUAAUAAUCUCAUCAAUUUUUGUACACCUUAUGGAACUCAGAAAUAUAAAAUCACUGCUGUUUUGGGUAGUUUGUCACUCUUGAGUCUUGUCACCCUUGCUAAGCUAAGCGAUUGGACAACUUUCACAUUAUCAAUAAUAAAGUGGCCACAUAUAUGACCAAAAACAUCAUCUUACUAUCCUAGUAUGAUAAAAUGGAUUCCAAAAUCAAACUGAACAUUCACACUUUUCUUGCCUGAGAAAGCUUCCAUUGUCAUCAUCCCGUGGCAUCUGUUCUUAGCAUCUCUAACUGUGAAAGUUUGAGUAACUUAAUGAUCCAUCCAGGAUCAAUGAGCACAGUCCUAGUGCAUGGGGAGGACGAGGAUUCCGGUGGAGCAGUUCUUGAAGAUGUGAGGGGCUGUCUCGAAGCCUCUAUUCUUAGUUCUUGACCGCAUAAGCUCAGAGUAGCUAUCGAUAUAGACUUGCAAAACGAGCUUUGAAGCCUAACCAGCCUGUCCUUUAUAGGAGUGGAUUCGAGGAGAGAACCACAGGUUGGGUCUUCUUGUAUCCUGGGGUUGUGGAAUGUGACCUUCACAAUGCUGAUUCUUGAUGGAAGGCUGAGCACUAGAUCAUUUGCUUGUAGGAAAGAAAUGCUUGCAGACUUGAAAGCAGCUCUGCCCUGCCCAGAUAGCAUGCCUGCGAAACGGCCUACGAUGAAGAAUGUUGUCGAGAUGCUUCAAGAGAUCGAGCAAGAUUAGAGCUCAUUCUCAACCAGAGAAGAGGGCUUUCUCUCUUUGAUAUCAAGAACAGUGUGCAAGAACAAUCCCCUUUCACAGAUUGAUGGAUUUUAGGGAUUGGCAUCAAGAACUUUAAUUGAAUUGGAUGUGAUGUUUUAUAGCUAGAUGGGGAGGGGGUUAUUAGGAAGAUACAAAUGCAGCAUAGUGUAUUCCAGAAUUUACCAUUGUUGUGUAUUUUCAUAUAUCAUUUUUAUGAAAAAUGUUGGAUGCA